GUGAUGGGCCGCUCCAUCACUCUCCUUUUCCUUAGGAUUCUUUCUCCAUGGCCGUUGUACAACCUCCUAAGGCGGCCAUCGGCGCGGCUGGAGGCGCGCUGGAGGAGCUCUCGGUGCCCUCCUCUCCCUCAGGCGGCUGAUGGCGAGGAGGAUUUGGCGGAGCAGGACGGCGACCACAGGGAGAGGUGCAGGCGCCGGCUAAGGACGGCUCAUGGCGGUGGCGGCGUGGGCCGGUGGCGGUGACCUCGGAGCGGAGCAGGCGCAAGCCGGGGAUGGCGACCUUGCUGUCCUGCGGGUGGAGGUGCGAUUGGGUGGAGGUGCGAUCGGCUGGCUCAGCUGGUCUGGCGAUGCCAUCCAUGCCAUCACGUUGGCACACAUCAUCCACCGAAAUUACUAUAGGCUCGGCGAUCUCGGGAGCGGCGACCGUCUCGGUCGCCGGAACGCACGCAACCUGCUCUGAAAUCUCUACGUCUUGUGCUAUGUAACCUUCCUAGAGAUGAGAUGGACACUUCCGGGUUCCAGCAACACUACCUAAUUUUCAUCCAUGUUCUGAGUAGCGGAAAGAACAAGGCCCACAUCGAUAUGAUUACCCUGUUGGAUUCAAGAUCACCUGGAGUGAAGAAUUAAGAUGCAAUAAGUAUGUUGGUUACAUUACAUAUGUGCCUCAUGACACAAGAGGUUCCAGGUCUAAUGGCAUUAUUAAAGAGUGCCUUCAGGUUAGUUAGAUUUUUCAAGUUUGGCCUUUUGCACUUUAUGAUCAGACAUCUACGUCGUUGUUUAAUUGUAGUUUCAUGUACUGCUUUGGUGGAAACAUAAAAAUAAGAAGUGGUAAAUAAUUGUUGGAUCGUACUGAAAGGCUAGGGAUAUGACUUUGUCACUUUCUGAAAAUUGUUGCAAUCCUUUAGGAGAUGCACCCAACUGCUCUUUGAUUGAUCAGUUUGUCUUUGCAGGCUAUCAUAUUUGUACAGACCUAUCAUUUUUAUCUAUACAUAUCCAUGUGCCGAUAUCUUUUGUAUGCAAAAUUCUGCACUACCCUUUUGGCUAUGAUUCACUCUUCGAUUUGCUCCAACGUGAGCAAAAUUAUAAGUCAAAAAUGUAUUGUGUUGUCAUAUAGUUGUUCAGUUCAUAAUGGAUGCGCAAAUUCAUAAUUAUGAACUCUUCCUUCAUUCUAAUACUAAUAUAGUAUAUUCACUUCCAUAAUAAGGUGAUUCUACAAAAGUUAUACCUUUAGGAAUGCCUUUUGUGAUAUUGCAUACAACUUGGAAAGGCGUGUAUUUCGGAAUCAAAUAGUUGUGUCUAGAAUUUUUAUAUAAAAAUAAAUCUUGCACUUCUCGGGUGCAGUAUGUAGGAUAACCCAUAGCUCUCUCUUAUACAUCACUGCUCAUUUGUAUUCCUUAUGGUCCUUACACACUUGGUUAUGGAAGUGACAUGGCAUCUGGAAGGUUUGAUUUUAGUAUGAUGAUAGUUCGGCUAUCACUAUCCAAGUUGUGAUCCCAGCAUGUUCUGCUCCGCUGGACGCCCUCAUCGCCAGCAUAUCGACCAUAGCAUGCACUCUCCACACUGGUGUUUACAGUAUUGUUGUCCUCUCCGGGAUUGUGCAUGCAGAAACUCCUGAGGGUGAAGCAUGUGCCAAGAUGAACGGUCAGGAGAGGUGGAGAUCAUCACAACUAGCUCAGCUCAGCCAGGAGAGUGAUUGCAAUGACACGGCCAGGCAAGGGUAUAGGGAUCAAGCGACAUGGCAAAAUUUGUUCGAGUUCGACUUCAUUAUUAUUACCAGGGAGGUACCUUCUAAAUGUUCAGAAAAUUCAUUUAACUAUUAUCACUUAUAAAUACACAAUUAGCUCAUGGAAUUGAUCAUAUUAGCUGUGAAUGCCCACUCUAAUAUCAAAGGACAGUAAGUAAACACAUAUGUUUUUUUGACGACAAACACACAUUCUUAUUGGCUUGCUGCACUUAUAUUUUAACUGGCUGAUUUACCACCAUGCAACCAA